AGAGUACUCCCUCCGUUCGGAAUUACUUGUCGCAGAAAUGGAUGUAUCUAGACAUAUUUUAGUUCUAGAUGCAUCCAUUUCCAAGACAAGUAAUUCCGAACGGAGGGAGUAGAUA
rfam:Triticum aestivum genome assembly, contig: Triticum_aestivum_CS42_TGACv1_scaffold_202315_3AL